GGGGUACACGAGGUAGUGUUUUAUGGGUGGCGUUCGCCGAGAUCAGGAACUCGAUGGUGAACUCGAACACAUGAUUUAGACAGGUUCGGGCCGCUUAUGUAGUGUAAUACCUUACGUCCUGUAUGUUGGUUAUGUUGUAUUGAUUGAACUUGUUCGGAAGGGGUCUUUGCCUCACCUUAUAUUACCAGGGGUAGGGUUACAGGUCGGUUGUUUUACGAGAAUACUAGUCUGAUUCAAUUGGAGAGUCCUACUCUAAUUUAUAUGAGUAGUUUCCUAAUCCUCGUCUACUUCUUGUCCUCCACAUAGACCACACCGUCCCGCACCAUAAUCUCCAUAUCUGACACAUCUCGGUGUACAGCCCUGUAUCUACGACUGUCCAAACCUUCCAGUAGGCCCAUAGAUGUAUGGCCGACAAAAGGGUCCGCUUUCUUGUAGGGUGGCAGUUUUCGAAAGGUUCACCGGAGGUAGUAGUUUAAAGAUUGUUUGGAUGAGAUGCAUGAUGUGCUUGCUCGUUGUCUAGAACUACAACUAGAAGAUGAUAGGCUCUUUGGAUGUGAUUUACCCUUAUUCAUUCCACUAAUCUUUAUAGCAUGUCUCCUUUUAUAUGCAAUCAAUUCUUCAUGCUAUGAUUGAUCCGUUAUACUAGAUAGAAAACCCUAGUCAGUUCGCUACCGAUCCACAGAUUGAUAAACUUUAGAUGGAAUACUCUAAGGGAAAAGCUAU
rnacentral:lncRNA from 1 species